GUGCCAGCCGCCGCGGUAAUACCGGCGCCUCAAGUGGUAUUCGCUUUUAUUGGGCCUAAAACGUCCGUAGCCGGUCUGAUACAUUCGUGGGUAAAUCAACCAGCUUAACUGGUUGAAUUCUGCGAGGACGGUCAGACUUGGGACCGGGAGAGGUGUGGGGUACGCUCAUGGUACGGGUAAAAUCCUGUCAUCCUGAGCGGACCACCUGUUGCGAAGGCGCCACCUGGGCUAUUAUCCGACGGUCAGGGACGAAGCCUAGGGGCACGAACCGGAUUAAAUACCCGGAUAGUCCUAGGUGUAAACGCUGUGAACUUGAUGUUGGGGGUGCUCCCAGCACUCUCUCUGUCCAAACGAAUGUGAUAUCUCCCCUGCCUGGUAAGUUCGGUGGCAAGGCUGAAACUUAAAUGAAUUGGCGGGGGAGCACCCCAACCUGAAGAUUGUGCGGUUUAAUUGGAUUCAAUUCCGGAAAACUCACCAUACCUGACCGACAAAUGAAUGUCAAUGUAAUUAAUUUACCGGAUUGUUUGCGAGGUAGUGCAUGGCCGCCGUCAGUUAUACCGCAAGGCGUUCUGUUAAGUCAGAUAACGAACGAGUCCCUCAUCUCUAUUUGCCCUCUGGAUCUCCGGAUCCAGUGCAAUAUAGGGAGACCGCUGGCGUUAAAUCAGAGGAAGGGGAGGGCAACGGUAGGUCAGUCUACUCCGAAUCCUAUGGGGUACACGCGCAAUACAAAGGACAGGGCAAAGGGGAGGUGCUUCGAAAAGAACAAUAGAUAUCCCGAAACCUUUUUAAAGUUGGGAUUGAGGGCUGUAAUUCCCCCUCAGGAAGCUGGAUUAGGUAGUAAUCGCGUUUCAAAAAGGCGCGGUGAAUUUGCCCCUGGUCCUUGCACACACCGCCCGUC
rnacentral:rRNA from 1 species